rnacentral:tRNA from 1 species
GGCCUUGUAUUCAUUUUUGUGAUUACAGAAUGCAAUUCUGUAGGGGUAGGUAAUUAGCUAUCAAGGCCU